UCUUCAGAAAAAAACUACGACAUUGGCCUUGGUGACUAUGGCCAGCAGCAGCUAUGUGAAUGGAAACAGAAACUGUCAUGGCGACAAUCCGCAAGUCAAGCGUGCCAAGUGGGUCGUUCCCUCGUCCCAAAUGGCGAAGAACACCCACAAUCCCAUCCGACAGAUCGUGGACAACAUGAAGAUAGAACCCAACCCUGAGAAGAAAAUGAUCGCACUGUCUAUUGGCGACCCAACUGUCUUUGGGAACUUGGAGCCUCCGCAUGAGGUAGAGGACGCUGUCAUUGACUGCAUCCACUCGAAGAAGUCUAAUGGCUAUGCUCCGUCCAUUGGGUAUGAAACUGCCAGAGCAGCCAUCGCAAAAUAUUACACCCGUCCAGGAGCACCACUGGAAGCUAAAGAUGUGAUAUUUGGCAGUGGGUGUUCUGGUGCCUUGGACCUUUGCAUCUCUGUCCUGGCUAACCCAGGGCAGAACAUCCUGGUCCCCAGGCCUGGCUUCUCUCUCUACAAGACACUGGCAGAGUCCAUCGGGGUAGAGAUAAGACAUUACAAUUUACUGCCGGAGCGUUGCUGGGAGAUUGAUUUGGACCACCUGCAGUCGCUGGUUAACGAGAACACUGCAGCCAUCGUGGUGAACAAUCCUUCCAACCCCUGUGGAUCCGUCUUUACCAAAGAACACAUACAGGACAUUCUUCAAGUUGCUGAGAGGCUCAGAUUGCCCAUUGUGGCAGAUGAGAUCUAUGCAGAUAUGGUGUUUUCUGGACACAGCUUUCACUUCAUGGCCUCCCUCACCACUGAGGUGCCGAUCCUGUCAUGUGGAGGACUGGCCAAAAGAUAUAUCGUCCCAGGCUGGCGUGUAGGCUGGGUGCUUAUCCACGACCGACACGGGGCCUUUGAAGCAGAGGUCCGUAACGGCUUGCUGAGACUGUCCCAAAGGAUCCUGGGUCCCAACACGCUGAUCCAAGCCGCCGUGCCACGGAUUCUGGAGAACACACCCCAGUCUUUCUACCAGGAGACCAUGGCUCUUGUACAGAGACGCUCCAACAAGCACCCUUCUCUCUCGGCAAACCGCCGCGCUGGCAGUGGCCUCGGCGCGUCGUCAGCGGACUGUGGAUAGUGGUGGUUGGCUAGUCACCGUAAUACGAAUUUGUUAAUUGUGUUGUCGCCCUCCUUGUUCUCUCCCUCCCGAACUGUUCAAACGCUGAUAGUACUUAAGCACAGUGAGAAUAUGUUGUGUCUUAAUCUAUAGACCAUUUUCUUGUCUAAGGGUUGUACUCAAGCUAUUUAUUAGGCGCAAACUGCAUACUGUUAAUAUACGAUCAACAAGCUUUUAGAGUACCACACUAUGUGGAGUUAGUACCCGAAGAAAUUGCAAGCACACAAAAUUUCAUGUUCAACCAAUUCUUUUUCUUCUAUUACAUGAAAAACAUGUUUAUACAUAUUGAUAAAUAUGAUCCGUUAGUCACAACUAUCCCUCUUCUCUGUUGUUUGUGUUGACAGAGGAACGCAGAGCUCUUCUUCAACGGAGUGUCCAAGAUCCCAGGGCUAAGUCCCAUCAUGCCUUGUGGUGCUAUGUACAUGAUGGUGGGGAUUGACAUAGACAAGUUCCCAGCGUUCAGCAGUGAUGUGGAGUUCACCCAGCAUCUGGUCUCGGAGCAGUCUGUCUUCUGUCUUCCUGCCUCGUGUUUCCAGUACCCCAACUUCUUCCGUGUAGUCCUGACAUUACCGCCAGAGAUGGUCAGCGAAGCUUGCGAGCGAAUUCAGGAAUUCUGCGCCCAACACUACAUGGCUGAAAGUACUGCCAAUGGGGCGUUCUGAACACAAAUGAAAUGUUAUACUUUUGUGUGAAGGAUUCAUUUUGAGUUCCUAUUACAGCAAAAUAGGCAAAACUGCCAAUACUCAUAUUGAAAGGCUUGUUUCUUUGAGUUGCAGUGACAAGUUGAAUUUUGUGUUCUGCUGUGUGAUUUAAUGAGUAAUCAGCUACAUUGCUGCUUUCCAUGGAUAAUGUACAAAAUGCGCAUUUUUAAUGUGAAUAGAGAAAUGAUAAACACUUAAAUCCUUGUAUUUAUCGAAAUCAUGUACGUGUAUCCUACUAUUAGUUUUAUCGUGCCAUCAUGUUUAUUGGAGAGCUAUCUGGAAAUUUUCCACAAAAACAAAGUAAAGUAAUAUGCUCUGCUGCUGAUGUGGUAUAUAUUAUAUUUUUCAAUAUAUUAUUAUGCAGAAGAUACUCAUGUGAUAGUCAAUGACUGUGACAUAAAUAAAAGUCAAAUUGCCUUGCCCAAAGAACCCUUCUCACAAGUUAUUUUAAAUCAAAUUUUCAUCUCAAUUAUAUCAUCAUGAAAUAUUCUCUUUGAUUUAUUACAAAAUCUAUUGUCUUUCAGAUUUUGUCUAGGCUGUUCCAUCUUGAAAUUUUAAAAGGGGGUUACAGUCAGGAACAUCUUGAACUCUCGUUGAAUUUUUUUUCUUUUGAAAUAUUUUUGCAGCCGAGACAGCAAAAAGACUGUCAUAUUUUAUGAUUCUGCAUUAUGUUCUGCAUGAUCAAUAUGUGUGGUUAAUACUAUUUUUAAGUACAUUGAGCAAAUAUGCUCGAUAAUUUUUGAGGUAAAGGUAAAGAGUCUUGUCUAUAAUCGUGUACAUGUACAGUUAACAUGUACAGUAAUAUAGAUAUAUAUGUGUUCCUAGUGUAAAUACCAUACACUAAAAUAAUCAUAUAUGUUAACAAAGGUGUGUCAGUACAUGUACUGUAAAUAAUUAGUCCACAUGUGAAUAACAUGGAAGAUGUCUAGCAGUCUGCCACUGACCAAAAUAGAGUUGCCAGUCGUUAUUGACUCAUUCGUCAAAGUAUGAUGCGUGUCCUGCAACUGUCUGUGAUACUAGUACUUGCAUAGACUUAAAACUCCUACUUUAAACAGACUCCAUACUGUUUGGUUAACAGAGCAUUGCACUAGAUACUUUCACAAAGGAGUUUUAAGAAAUACCUCAUUGCUUAUGCUUAAGUCCCAGCAACAUCCCAGCAUGCAAGACUAAGGUGAAAGGUUGAUGGUGACUGCCAUUUUGACCUUGGUCCGAAUACAAUAACCGUCGUGUGGUAAAUGCAUUACCAAUAGGACUGAUAAAUGAUUAGCCCUUAGACUAAUGUCUUUUCUGUAGUCCUGUUUUGGAACUCACAAAACUAUGCACAUUCAGAAAUUUGAAUGGCAUUUUGGAGUGGUAUCGUCACUUAUGUGAGAGCUAACGUUACAUGCAAGUCAAAGCGCUCCUGGCCAAUAGUAAUUUUUAUGAUAAAAAGCAAGCUUUGAGAAAUAAACACAGUAAUAUGUUACAUACAUGUAUUUGUAGUGUGUUCUGGUGGCCAAAUACAAUGUAUGAUCCAACUGUUUUUGAUAUGUGAUAUAAUGUAUAGUGCAUGUAGAGAUAGAAGUAAUGUUUUUGUUGCAAUGUUUCCUUUUAGAUGAUUGUGCCUCUAAUUCUACUAACAUUUCAAGGUUUUGCAUACUGGUAGUUUUUAAUUAUUUCUGACUAAUUAUAUUUCUGUCCAUCCUUGUUGUUGCUUUUGGUUUUAAUGUGAUGUAUGAGAAACAAUUGUAUUCAAUGGCACUCUGUUGUUUGGUGCAAAACUACUAGUAGUAUGUUUAGGAAAUUGGAUUUUUGCUCAACCGACCAUGUAACAACCUUUAUGGGACUAAUGGCCAGUAACUUAUAGGACACAUUCUCACAUGGUCAUUAUAAAAGAUAACCUAUGUGCACUGUAAAGGGAUACAGCUGGAAUAAAUUACAGUGUGAUGUUGGAA